rnacentral:lncRNA from 1 species
AGCUAAGCCUAAAGCAACAAAGGCAAAACCGAAGCCAAAACCUAAGACUGUUGCUCCAAAGGCAAAAACUGCUACUAAACCAAAGGCGAAGCCAAAGCCUAAGGCGAAGCUUGUUGCUAAAGCUAAGCCUGCUGUGAAGCCUAAGGCGGCAGCUGUAGCGAAGCCGAAAGCUGCGGAGAAGCCUAAAACUCCUGUUAAAACUAAGGCUGCGGCUAAGCCGAAGGAGAAGCCAGCUAAGGUGGCGAGAACUGCUACAAGGAGUACUCCGUCGAGGAAAGCUGCGCCGAAGCCGGUGGCGAAAAAGGCUCCGGUGAAGAAGGCGGCAC